rnacentral:lncRNA from 1 species
CGGAGGUGGGUGAAGAACCGGACGGGCUUGGGCUGGCCGUCGACGGCGAGCUGGAACUCGACCUUGAAGGGGAGGUUGGCCGUGACGCGCUUGCCCUUCCACACGCAGACGUACUGCUUGACGACGCCCUCCAUGCCCUGGAUGUCCAGGUCGGGCGCCUUGAUGACGUGGUAGACGCGGAGCGGCGCCGUGACGCGCACCCGCCUGCCGAUCUUGGGCGCGGCCGCGGCCUCCUCGGCCGCCACGUCGUCCGACUCCGAGGUCACCGCGUUGGUGAGCGCGACCUGGAGGAGCAGGCGCGCGCGGCGCGGGGCCGGGGGCGGGCCGGGGAGCCGGGCGAAGGCGGAGGACGCGGGCGCCGGGGAAGGGAGGCGGCGGUGCAGGAGCACCGAGGAGGUGGAGGUGGACGGCGGCGCCACGGACGCGGUGGCGGUCGCCAUUGGGGUAUGCGCGCGGCGGGGAUGGAGGGAGGCCGGACGGACUCCGGUGUUGUUGGGUCGAACAGGUGGUGGGCGCGGGAGAGGCGAGGAAAGGAUAGAGGCGCGGGGGAAACGAAAGGCGGAGGGGAGCGGAUGGCCGUUGCGACUGCGAGUUGCCUAUAGGUUGAUUGCCUUCUCCGUUCGUUUGGGCCUCGGGAAAUGCUGAGAGUUUGGCGAGUUUGCACAGCGUCUAGCACGGAAAUCAACUGGAUAAGGCGGGAGCGCACGCCUGGCUGUGGUUUGCUCUGCUCGCCGUGCCCGGGGCAGAGAGGCGAGGACGGCGACGAUAUGGCAUGGGCGCGUGGCAGCGGCACCCUUCACGUAAUCACGGUUUGCGGUUCGCCGACUCGCCACGUGGCGUCGGCUCUAUUUGGCCACUUGCCGCCGGGGUCGCUCCCGUCGACGCUUGACAACGCACGCACGCACUGUAGGAAAUUUGCGUGUUGGUUCUGUUACAAAUAUCCUCGUACAGUGGUGAUCUCAGCCGCCUCCUUUGCGAUCCCCCUCUGUCGAAUCCUAAAAGCAAGUCUUCUCGUAGAGUUUCUCCCGGCAUGCAUACGGAAAACUCCCCGUAGCCACGGGACGUGCGUCGUGAUUACUUCGAGCGAGAGUUUUCUCCUCGUAACCUCUCUUUAAUAUUAUGUAUAAAUAUCACCUAUGAUCCAUACAAUAAGGUUGUCUCGAACAAGAGAUUCAUCGUGAAACUGAAACCUAAAAUAAGUCGGCAACAUAAUACUUAGUCUAACAAACUAACUAUAUAGAGCUUGUUUGGCACAGCUCAACUUCACUAGUAAAGCUGUUUUUUUAGAAAAUAGCUUCACGAGUGACUUAUGAAGCUGAGCUGUUUUGGAAAAAAUAUUUGGCAAAAUAGCUUCACCAACUACUUCAUGCAUAGUUGAGAGAGAGAAAUGAGUGAGAAGCUGCAAUAAGCUACUUUUUUCCAGCUUCAUCCAACUUAUGUCUUUGUGAGAGGAGAGGAAAAACAGCUUCAUCCAUGAAGCUGUUUUGGAAAUAAGUGUUUGGCAAAAAAAAACAGCUCACAACAGCUCAUGAAGCUGCUGUGAAGCUCAUGAAGCUGUUGUGAGCUGUACCAAACAGGCCCAUAGAAAACUCAUUUUAGGUAUUGAGAAAGGCAUAACUCAAGUAUGAAUAUCGUCUCUUAAGACCCAUUUGAAGAAAGGGUUAUCUUUUAGAUCUUGUUGUUAAAAAAAACUAAAACUAGAUAUGAAAUCCUUUGACUGUACCGCUGCCCAAACUACGGUGUUAGAGUUGUUUGGUUUAUUUUAAUAGCUUUGCCAAGCCACAAGUAGACACGCCACAAUUUGGCAUGUAUUUGAUUAAUACCACAACUAUGGCAUGCCAAACUUUUGUAGUCAUAUGUUCCACAUGUCAAAAUCAGUUUGAUGCCAAACUUUCUUAGCCUAUGUCCCACAUGUCAUAGUCAUUUCGAUGGCAAACUUUAAGACAAAUGUGGUGCUCGAUUUGUUGGCUACAUUUCUCCUAAUUUUAGUUGCAGCAAAGUUAGGCAUCAACCAAACAUGCCAAUGACGAUUACAUUGCUAUAACGAAAUCAUAACAAGAAAAAAAAUGAUAUUUAUUACACAAAGAAUAGAGUUCGCAUAUCUCAUUUUACUUAAAACCCCAACAGGAUAGGUCUGUAGAACUGAUGAAUCGAAACUACCUAGAAGCAAAACUUCCCAUCCAAGGGCAGCAUAACAUAUAUCUCAAACGCAUCAACGCAGAUAUUUAGUUAUAUCCCCGCAAAUAUCACCACCUGAAUGUGCACCUAUUUAGACUCCGUCAGAACAACAAAAUAAGAAUAUAAUGAACAUUAUCAACCCUACAAAUUCUGCUAUAGAGGGAAAUCUUUACAUGCAAAUACUACUAUGGGCGUACCAUUCCAUAAUUUUACCAUAAUCAGAAGCAUCCAUUUAUGGAGAUUGAGUGCUACUUUCUGUCUUCGGAUCCAAGAUCUCACUCAAGGAUGCAGAACGGACGAGUGAAGCUGCUGGUAGAGAGGCCAAUGAUUCGGCAGCCGGAAUGCGAAAAAGAUAUACACGAUAAUUCUCCUCUUUCGCUGUCUCCAUGCUCUUGUUCAUAUCUUGUUCUAGUCUGAAAGCAUAGUCAUACAGGGGUCCAGGAGCUCCUCUUGCAGUUCGCUUUGCAUCGACAAGUGCCUUAAUUCCGACCUGCAAUCGAGAUAUCUCCUCACCAAUUUCUGUCUUCCCAUGGAGUUCAAUACUGUACCUAUAGCAAGCUUCUGCAUUGAACAGAGCAGCCUUCAAUUGGACAUGGGAUACCCAUGAUCUUUCAAAGUGGUUCUGCAGCGGAGGAGCCACUAGUGCAGCAUAAGCUUCUUCAUAGUACAGGGCAGCCUGCAUACAGCCAGACACAUAAGAGUUUAGUCUUUUCCUGAGGUGAUUGAUUUUUUCACACAAGAAAGGAUAUUGAAUUUUUGAAUGCUGAGCAACAUACAAACAUAUGUAUUGUUAGUGCUAAUCGACCGGAGGUUGUAGCGAUGGUGGGUUGUAGGACGAGGUUUGAAGAGACGGCGGCGAGCUGGGGGCGCCGUGCUUGGCGCCAGGUGUUCGAUGAACUCGACAAUGGAAUUACAGGGAACAGGAGAAUUAGGGCCGGGUGCCCAAGGGAGAUAGAUAUAUCUCAAUCCCAGGCUAGUCUCUUUAAUCCAUAGAGUUUGAUACUUAUACAUGACCUCCUAACAACCUGUAGCUAAAUAAAAGGACUAACAGACUCCAACUAGGACUCGACUACUUAACCAAGCUUAACUAACGCAGCUAGAUUCAGGCCUGGCGCACACAAGCCGUGCAGCCUGCCUAACCUGCCGCCCGACUCCUUCUAGCAUAUGUUCUUCCCACCAUAACAACUCUCCCGCCCUCGACAAACAGCUCGUCCUCGAGCUGGAAUGAUGGAAAGCGGCUUCUGAAAUCUUCCAGGGGCUCCCAAGUAGCUUCAGAGUCUGGCAAGUUGAGCCACUGAAUCAGGACAUGCCAAACGCCCCAAACGUAGUUGAGCACGGAUCGCCCGCGCCGGUUGGAGCAAGAGCCGGCCAUGGCGCAUGGGAGGAAGCGGAGGCGUCGUGGGCGCCGAUAUGGCUUGAGAACACCGACGUGAAACAGGUCAUGAAUCCGGGCGUCGGCAGGUAGCUCCAACCGAUACGCGACAUCGCCGACGCGUUCCAGAACGCGAAAGGGGCCAGCAAACCGAGGACGCAGCUUCCCCCGAGGGCCGGGUACCAGUGAUUGUGCCGGGCGAUGAAGAAGGCGAAGCCAAACCCAAUCUCCUACAGCAAACUCCAGAGCACGGUGGUUAGCAUCAUAAUACUUCUUAGCAUAGACCUGGCCCUGCAGCAGGCGUUCACGGACUUCCUCCAGAAAUGUAUCCCGGUCCUGCAGGAGUCUAUCCGCGGCCCCUGUCUGAGAUGAGCCGGCUGUAUAGGGCAGUAGCGCCGGGGGAUCCAGGCCAUACACGACCUUGAAGGGGGAAGUGCGCAAAGACGAGUGGUGGGCAGUGUUAUAACAAUAUUCUGCCCACGGAAGCCAGUCGAGCCAUGCGCGCGAUCGAUCGCCGGUGAGGCAGCGCAAGUACAUGGCGAUCAUUUUGUUGACAGCCUCCGACUGCCCGUCCGUCUGCGGUGGAAGGCAGUGCUCAUCUUCAGCUUGACACCCGCGAGCCGGAACAAGUCGCGCCACACAUGUCCCGUGAACACCGGAUCGCGGUCACUUACAAUCGAGCUUGGAAACCCAUGAAGACGGACGAUAGCUUCAAAGAACGCGCGAGCCACCGAGAUUGCUGUAUACGGAUGGCUCAAGGGUAUGAAGUGCGCGUAUUUGGAAAACCUGUCCACCAGGCUGCGUGGUGGUGGGCGGGGACGAGACGCCGACCGAGGUGGUGGGUGGUGCGAAGCCUACCGAGACGCCGGAGGUUGGCGGCGGCUGCGACAUGGUCUCUGAUACCAGAUUGUUAGUGCUAAUCAACCGGAGGUUGUAGCGAUGGUGGGUUGUAGGGCGAGGUUUGAAGAGACGGCGGCGAGCUGGGGGCGCCGUGCUCGGCGCCAGGUGUUCGAUGAACUCGACAAUGGAAUUACGGGGAACAGGAGAAUUAGGGCCGGGUGCCCAAGGGAGAUAGAUAUAUCUCAAUCCCAGGCUAGUCUCUUUAAUCCAUAGAGUUUGAUACUUAUACAUGACCUCCUAACAACCUGUAGCUAAAUAAAAGGACUAACAGACUCCAACUAGGACUCGACUACUUAACCAAGCUUAACUAACGCAGCUAGAUUCAGGCCUGGCGCACACAAGCCGUGCAGCCUGCCUAACCUGCCGCCCGACUCCUUCUAGCAUAUGUUCUUCCCACCAUAACAUGUAUUCAUUUUAUCACUCUAAUAAAAUGAUAAACAGUGUCAUGCAUGCUCAUUAGUACCAACACAGAAGGCACAAAAAAAACAGCAGUAGCACCAUCAACUAGAGAUUAGUCAUCAAUUUGGGAAACUAGGAUCAUCCAUUUAUUUACUUUUAGUUUCUAUUCUUUAAAAGAAAAAAAACAAUCAGAACUGUCCAUAUAGUUUAAGCUAACCUUUGGUCGAUAAAAUAAAACUGAAUUCCUUUAGUCUCUAUAAAGUUCCUCUCCCUUUCUGAACUUCUUUCCCCUGACCAAACUAAGCUUUAAAGUUCAAGAUGUUGUCUACGAUGUGCAUCACAUAACAUAGAAAGAGUAAGGGACAUUGUCUAAAUAUCUCAAUCAACUUGUUAGCUUUAAGAACAGGUAUAAUCCACAAACUUCUGGAACCGAUGGUUUGGAUGUACACUCAAACCACCUAAGUGUGAAUCCUCUUCUACUUUAUCUAUUCAAAAUGUAAUUCCUCCUACACAUCCCUCAACCUGGGAUUUACAAAGAUUCAUUCUUUUAUGUUUGAUGUGUUCACCAAUCCACCAAGAUAUCUUGUUGUACAAAAUCAAAAACUGUCAAGGAUAACAAGGCAUCAUCAACCUUUCACCAUAUGUAAAUUAAUGACUAAAAUCUCACUUGGCCAGCCAACGUUUCCGAUUCGCUUUGUUUUAUGUGUUGCAGUGAUUAAUGAAGUAAAUGUGCAUCCAAGCAACAUAAAAAUGAGCAACAACGCACUUUAGAAUCAACUGCAACCAGUACUGAAGGAAGAAUGACAGAAUAUUAAGUAUUUAACAGACAUAAUGAGAUGAUGUUUCAGACCACAAAAAGUAACUAACUACUCCACCGUUCCAAACUAUAGUUCACUUUAGCUUUAUCCUAGGUAAAAUUUCUCAAACUUUGUCCUAAGUUCAUUGAAAAAUAUGUUAACAAACUUGGUCAAAAGUAUAUAAUUUGGAAAAGAGGGAGUAUGUAUAAGUAAAAUUUGCUGUCCGGAACAUCAUCUAAUUAUGACUGGAUGUAGUAUUGAUUGAUUCUUCUAUUUGGAUAUGUUACCAUGAUGCAACAAAAAGCACAACUACUUAUAAGUGAAUUUACAUCUUUUUAAUAGGGGUAGAUCAUAGGUGGAAGUAGAUCUCAGAGCUACCAGAGAUGGAACUGAUUCAUAAUAUGGACAAUCUAAUUUUGACAAUGCAAUUCAUGUAAAGCUCCAAACUAAUGCCAAUUUCCAAUGUCCAAAGCAUCAACACUUACGCCCUCUAAUCCCUAUCACAUUCCCAUGGGUUCAUUCAAAAGGGAACAUGUGCAUUUCGAAUUCAUAUUUCUUGACCAACCUGGCAAAUCUACUGGGGAGCACCGGAGCACUACCAUCUUCAGUUCCUCGUUCGAUCAACACUGACAAAUAGCCACUCCUACCAUCUUUUUCAGUGUUUGCUUUUAACAUACAUUUUCUCAUCUUAAAAUACCCAAACGAAUUUUCAUCAAACUUCGAUCAGAGAGUAGUCAUAAUAAACUGUUAAAAGCGCAUUUCUGCAUUUUGCAAAGAAUUUGAUCUCUGAAGUUAUGCGAAGCGCACUGCAAUUAAACCCCCAACAGAGACAUAACGAGAGGAAUGUAUAGGAACAGGGCGUGCAGUCAGUAAAAUCUCACCUGCCUAGCCACUUUGGAGCACACCGGCGGUGAUCUCCCCGCGGCGAGAGCGCGCUCAAAACAGCACUCCUGCGCCUGCGCGAGCAUGAGGCGCUCCAGCAUCGCCGAGGCCUGAGAACUCAUAUCCACCGUCGUCGCCUCUUCCUCUUCCAUCAUCUCCCCCACCGCGCGGAACGCCCCCGCGGCGCGCUGGAACUCUCCGCACGCCGCCCUCACCCCUUCCUCCGUGGCGCGGCUCACGGCCGCCGCGAUCCUCGAGGCGGCCGCGCC